UGUUGAUCCAGCUUGGCUCUCUCUACCUGUGGAGAGCUGGCAGAAUCUUUGCACAAAACAGCACAGCUGCAAAACCUAGGUGGGGUGAUGUCUGGAGCUGUAUGUAAGUAUUAAUAUGGAAAAUCCAGCUGUCUUCUUGCAUGGAUAGGAAUUCAUGGUCUCUGCAAAUACUUUGUCAGAGAAAGGAACUCUGUAUCACAGAAUUGGAUCAUUGGAGGCCUGCCUCUGUGCUGCACUGGCUGUCGUCCUCAAGCCUCACUCACUCCAAUCAUUACCUCGAUUAGAGCUAUCCCAUGAUGCGUUGUGAAUCUCUAACCUAUGGAAAGCCCUGUAGCACUUAAGCCUGGCAGAUCUACUAAGUGUACAGUGGAGUCUGCUGAGUGUCAGCAAAGGAAGGAAAUCUACUGUGAGCAAAAGUUACUUUUGGUUGGAUAUGUUUGGAUGGGUUCAGUUUCCUAUCUAAACUUUCAAACAAAGUUUGAUUCAGUUUUAAUUCAACUAAAGUUUGACCGUCAUCUUUACUGGUGUGGUUUGGGGUUUUUUUGUUUUUUUUUUUAAACCGGUUGGUCAGAGGACAGAUAUGCAUAUGCUCAGUAGCUCUUGAACUUUUCCUAACAAGUCUGGCACAUGUUUAAUUGUAAAGUCAUGUACUUAGAAGUGUGUGUGAGACGUUAAAACUAUAGUGUGUGUGAGAAGCCACAGUUUGGUAUCAAUCGUAAUUCUCCCACCCAAAGAAUGUUCUCCUGUUAACAAAAGUAUAUUCGUUGGUAGGACAGACAAUGACUGGCAGCUAGCUUGGUAGCCCUCAUGGAUCUAGGCAAAGGGUCAAGACAAUUCAAGUCUUGCACCUCAUCCCUGUACUGAUGUUACAGUACAAUAAUUGACAGAGCUGAAUUGUUGGGGGUGCCAUCUUUUGCAUUAAUGUGCUGUGUUUUCUGUUUCUCUUGUGCGGAAACUAAAGAGCCAGUGGGACUCUUCAGAAAGCUUAUAGAGUAACCCUAAGCCUGCUAGCCAAGGUUUUCUCUUAGUAAACUAGCUGAGCUAUCCAAGACUGCUGUUGCAUAUGAUGUCUUGAUUUUUAUAAGUACUGAGUGUAAUAGCACCCACAAAUCUUGGUAAGAUCAACACCUCUAACAAAAUCUAUAGCAGACCGUAAGUGUUCAAUUGUCAGAUUUUCCUGCACAUUCAGUUCCCAGCUAUAGUCUAAUAUAUUGCUAGGAUAUCUUAAGUAUGAGGCUCAGAAUCAAACCAGGUUUGGACAUUUUUAAUGGGGAGUUAUUUUUACAAACACAUGUAGGGCUUUUCAUUGUUUCUACAAUUACUCUUGAAUGGUUUAUAAUAUGACAAAAAUGAAACACCAAUGUAUAAAUACU